rnacentral:lncRNA from 1 species
GUUAUGCUACGUUUAGUUUAGCCUAAAUGAAUGUACGGCCACGUACAGCAGUGCUCUAGCCUUCACAUCGCACUCCCUCCUGACUCACUGAUGAACCAGAGCAACUUUUUCAUCUGCAAGCUCCACUUGAGAUACGUUUAGCCAGUACUUGCCAUCGUAUUAAAUCUCCUAGCCAGGUGUCAUGGAGCACGCCUGUAAUCCCAGC